GUCAAGCGUGCAGUGCUAUGGCUUGGAAGAGCUGGGAGGGAUGGUGUUUGGCAACGCUAGGGACCUAAUUCCAGCUGGUGAUAUUGGGCCUAGAGCUCCAUACCCAUAAGUUUUCUUCCUCCCAAACUUCCUGGUGCCAAGCUAAAAGGAUUUGUCAAAAGACUUUUUCCACCUUCUACGGGUUUGUAUCUUCUGUCUGAUUGGGGUCCCCUAAACAUCCAUAAUGAAUUUUCAUCAUAGCUCUUAGAAGAAAAAGGAGAUGAUUCAUUACAGAGUCCAACUUUUGAGUUGGGAGACUGAAAAUAACGAAUCAUCAUAAUUCAUAAUUUCAUAUGGC
rnacentral:misc_RNA from 1 species